rnacentral:rRNA from 1 species
UCUGACGGAGCAACGCCGCGUGAGUGAUGAAGGUUUUCGGAUCGUAAAGCUCUGUUGUUAGGGAAGAACAAGUACCGUUCGAAUAGGGCGGUACCUUGACGGUACCUAACCAGAAAGCCACGGCUAACUACGUGCCAGCAGCCGCGGUAAUACGUAGGUGGCAAGCGUUGUCCGGAAUUAUUGGGCGUAAAGGGCUCGCAGGCGGUUUCUUAAGUCUGAUGUGAAAGCCCCCGGCUCAACCGGGGAGGGUCAUUGGAAACUGGGGAACUUGAGUGCAGAAGAGGAGAGUGGAAUUCCACGUGUAGCGGUGAAAUGCGUAGAGAUGUGGAGGAACACCAGUGGCGAAGGCGACUCUCUGGUCUGUAAC